CAAUUAAACAUGGAGCAGGCGACUCCCGCCGGCGGUUCGGAUAUUUCUGAAGUCGGCGAAGGCGUGCGGCUGGGCCGGGACGACAACCCGGCAGCGGGCGGAUAAAAUUCGCGGCCCGUGGGACCGUU
rnacentral:ncRNA from 1 species